rnacentral:rRNA from 1 species
AUUGAACGCUGGCGGCAUGCUUUACACAUGCAAGUCGAACGGGCUUGGGGGCUUGCUCCCAAGUUAGUGGCGAACGGGUGAGUAAUACAUCGGAACGUACCGUGUAGUGGGGGGUAACGUAGCGAAAGUUACGCUAAUACCGCAUACAAUCUACGGAUGAAAGCAGGGGACCUUCGGGCCUUGUGCUAUACGAGCGGCCGAUGUCUGAUUAGCUAGUUGGUGAGGUAAAGGCUCACCAAGGCGACGAUCAGUAGCGGGUCUGAGAGGAUGAUCCGCCACACUGGGACUGAGACACGGCCCAGACUCCUACGGGAGGCAGCAGUGGGGAAUUUUGGGACAAUGGGCGAAAGCCUGAUCCAGCCAUGCCGCGUGUCUGAAGAAGGCC